rnacentral:rRNA from 1 species
UACGAAGGGGGCUAGCGUUGUUCGGAAUUACUGGGCGUAAAGGGCGCGUAGGCGGUACUUCAAGUCAGGCGUGAAAGCCCCGGGCUCAACCUGGGAACCGCGCUUGAGACUGGAGAACUAGAGUUCGGGAGAGGAUGGUGGAAUUCCCAGUGUAGAGGUGAAAUUCGUAGAUAUUCGGAAGAACACCAGUGGCGAAGGCGGCUCACUGGUCCGGUACUGACGCUGAGGUGCGAAAGCGUGGGGAGCAAACAGG